GGCUUUCGCUGGUUGUGAUUCCUUACAAGAGAAGCACAAAUAUCCUUCUUUAAAAGUACGCAAGCCUCUCACUGUUGUGACCUCUCCCGUUGCGGAGCACAGGCUCUGGACGCGCAGGCUCAGCGGCCAUGGCUCACGGGCCCAGCUGCUCCGCGGCAUGUGGGAUCUUCCCGGACCGGGGCACGAACCCGCGUCCCCUGCAUCGGCAGGCGGACUCUCAACCACUGCGCCACCAGGGAAGCCCAAUUUUAUUUU